AAUCAGUAGUCUUUUAAUUGAAGGCUGGUAUGAAUGGUUGGACGAAAUAUUAACUGUUUCAUUUAAAAUUUUUAUAGAAUUUUAUUUUUUAGUUAAAAAGCUAAAAUUAAGUUAAAAGACGAGAAGACCCUAUAAAUCUUAAUACUUAUUUUAUUUUAAUUAUAAAGAUUAUUUUAAUUAUAAUAAAAUAAAGUAUUUUAUUGGGGUGAUAUUAAAAUUUAAUAAACUUUUAAUUUUAAAGAUAACAUUAAUUUAUGAAUAAUUGAUCCAAUAUUAUUGAUUAAAAAUUUAAGUUACUUUAGGGAUAACAGCGUAAUUUUUUUGGAGAGUUCAUAUCGAUAAAAAAGAUUGCGACCUCG
rnacentral:rRNA from 1 species